rnacentral:rRNA from 1 species
AAACCAGCACCUCAAGUGGUCAGGAGGAUUAUUGGGCCUAAAGCAUCCGUAGCCUGUUCUAUAAGUUUCCGGUUAAAUCCAUUAGCUCAACUAAUGGGCCGCCGAAAAUACUGUAGAACUAGGGAGUGGGAGAGGUAGACGGUAUUCGGUAGGAAGGGGUAAAAUCCUUUGAUCUAUUGAGGACCACCUGUGGCGAAGGCGGUCUACCAGAACACGUUCGACGGUGAGGGAUGAAAGCUGGGGGAGCAAACCGGAUUAGAUACCCGAGUAGUCC